rnacentral:tRNA from 1 species
GUGGGGAUAGCUCAGUGGUGGAGCACAUGUUUAGCAUGCACAAAGUCCUGGGUUCAAUCCCCAGUACCCCCU